rnacentral:rRNA from 1 species
UACGAAGGGUGCAAGCGUUAAUCGGAAUUACUGGGCGUAAAGCGUGCGCAGGCGGUUCGUUAAGUCAGAUGUGAAAGCCCCGGGCUCAACCUGGGAACGGCAUUUGAAACUGGCGGGCUGGAGUGUGGCAGAGGGGGGUGGAAUUCCACGUGUAGCAGUGAAAUGCGUAGAGAUGUGGAGGAACACCGAUGGCGAAGGCAGCCCCCUGGGCCAACACUGACGCUCAGGCACGAAAGCGUGGGGAGCAAACAGG